UCCGAAUGACCUGAAAUUUUACACACAUGUCCCAAUUGACACAACAAAGUUGUUGCAACUCUUGGAAUUUCAUUCCGACCUCUAUAUCAAAAUCUCACCUAUCAACCGGAAAACGUCGAAAUCUCAAUUUCGCCAAUUCAAGCCUAAACCUUCCAUGGACUUCCAAAAUGCAUUCCGAUCAUGUUCCUAAGUCCCAAAUCACCUAAAAGAGCUAACCAAAUCAUAAAAAUUUCGAUCUAAGACCAUAUACAAUCAAGUCAAAUCUUGGUCAAACCUUUCAAAUUUAAAGCUUCAAACUGAGAAUUGUUAUUCCAAAUUCAUUCUGAUUUCCCAGAAACCCAAAACCAACGAUUUACAUAAGUUAUAAUACAUCACGCGGUGCAAGUAAUGCCCAAGAACUGACUAUCAAAGUGCAAAAGCUCAAAACGACUGGUCGGGUCGUUACACAUAAUCCCAUGAAGUUGAAAGUGGGGCAGUCUUUCUUAGAAAUUCCAUCUCAAAAAGAAAAAAAAGAGUCAAAUUCCCUUGUUUCAGAAUUGGGGCAAAGUUUUUAAAAUGGAUUCCAAAAGUUGUAAAUAAAUUAACCAUGUUAUCUUAGUUAUUUUGAGCCUUUGUGAUAUCCUUCCUUUCUAACCCUGUCCAAAAGCCACAAUACAGUCCAAAAGACCUCCCGAAUAAUCUUUGAGAGUGCUGAGUUUAGACAUGCCAAGGGUAUAUGAUGUUUUUACCAUGGUUAAUGCCUUGUCAUCUGCAGAAUCAGAGGAAAUAAGAAUAUAAGAACAAAAUAAGAGAGUCUUAUUGGUAAAAACCUUCAUAGGAACCAUAAGGCGAUGGUGAGUUGAGAGAAAGAACAAAAUGAGAGAGGCUUGAUGGUAAAAACCCUUCGGACACUACAAGUCGAAUAAGGAUUGUGAAUCAGAUUGGAUAAUCGGAGCAUUGAAGACCAGUUUCACGGUUUAGGGGUAUAACAAGAGUUGAACAUCAGACGUGCUUGACAGAUUAGGCCACUUAAUCCAAAGGUGCAUAUCAUGGUCAUUAGAGUUGGUAUCCACAUCUGAUAAGUUUCUACUUUGUAGUUGUUUUGUUAGGAAUCAUCUAUUUUCAUUGUCCUUUAAUCUGUUCCUUUUGUUUUGUUUACUUCCUCUUCCUGAGUUUGUUUGGUCAGAACAAGUGAGUAAUGACUUCAAAAUUUGCCACCAGCUUUCCAAUUGCACAAAACGAGAUCUGGCUAGCACAUCAAAGUGGCAUAAGUUAGGAAAGAACAGAGUGCACACUAAGUUGGUAACAAUCAUCAUGCUUUGGGAUUCAUGUGAAAUACAAAGGUUUGGUAUAUGUCAAUUCAUGAACAAUGCAACAGAUAGAGGAUGUUGGGUGAACAGAUUGGAGGUAUUUUUUGUGAUAAGGGUGAUAGAGAAAGUGGUCAGUCAAUAAACAUGCAAGGUCUUUCGAGUUGAAAUCGCAGUUAUCAUGAGAAGUGAAGGAGCAAUUGCCCUCAAAGUCAAGGCUGCAAACCAACCACCAUGUUUAAACUCACAAGUUUUCUUUGAUUGAAACAGGGGCAGGAUAUUUUGUUUGUUCCGGAGAAACCCUCUGUGAGGAAAGUAGGUGCCAGACAGGCUCGGUAGUAAGUUUCUAUUACCCUCCUGGAUAACGGGAUUCAGUAAGUUGUGAGACCCUCGCAAGUGACAAGGUCUGGCGAGAGUUUUAAUUCUGGGAAGUAUAAUUUAGCAUUUAAGUUUUUCACUUUUGAGGUGAGACUUGGUUUGAAAUUUGUCAGGAUAAAGGAAUUUAGCUUAAAACUUAUUUUGAUAACAAGAAUUGGUUAACACUCACAAAUGCUCCCAAUAUCAAACUGGGGUAGAAAAAUUUCUUUUGUUUUGUCUGUUUUAUUGUAAUAGGGUGCCCACCUAGAGAACAAAGGGAAGACAGUUCAAGUGUUGGAAAUCAGGCACCCACCUAGAGAACAAAGGGAAAGCAACAUUUUAGAGGAGUCAGUUCGAGUUGGAAAUCAGGCGCCCACCUGGAGAACAAAGGGAAGACAGUUCAAGUGUUGGAAAUCAGGCACUCACCUGGAGAACAAAAGGAAAGUAGCAGUUUCAAAGGAAGCAGUUCAAGUGUUGGAAAUUAGGAGCCCACCUGGAGAACAAAGGAAAAGCAGUUCAAGUGUUGGAAAUCAGGAGCCCACCUGGAGAACAAAGAGAAAGAAAUGGAGAAUAAAAGGAAGCAGUUCAAGUUUCGAGGAGAAACAGUUCAAGUGAUGGAAAUCAGGAGCCCAGCUCGAGAACAAAGGGAAGCAGCAAUGUUCAAAAGAAGGCGGUUCAAGUUCAGCAAUCAGGGGCCAAUCUGGAGAACAAAAGGAAAACGAGUCAAGGGAAAAGCAGUACAAGUGUUGGAAAUCAGGAGACCGCCUAGAGAACAAAGGGAAAGCAAAAAUGUUCAAAGGAAGACGGUUCAAGUUCAGCAAUCAGGAGCCCACCUGGAGAACAAAGGGAAAACGAGUCAAGGGAAAAGCAGUACAAGUGUUGGAAAUCAAGAGCUCACUUGGAGAACAAAGGGAAAGCAGCAAUGUUCAAAGGAAAACAGUUCGAAUAUUGGCAAUCAGGAACCUACUCGGAGAAUAAGAGAAUUCACUUCAGAAUGCAAUUCAAGUUAGCAACGAAUGAAGCUCGUGGCAAGAAUGCGAGUCAACAGUCCGAGGUGAUCAACAAAAGUUAGUCACGAUCCAGAAAAAAAAAGGCAAGAAGUGAAUCCAAAUGCAGAAGUUGUUGAAAGAUGUGGGCUGCUCAAGACAUGACUGAAGUCACAAGCAUGGUAUGUCUGGUCUUGAUCCGAAAAGCUGAAGAAGAAUAAACUAGCACCUGCAACUAGCAAGUAUCAAGGUUCAAAUCCAAGGUCUGCAUGAAGACCCAUUGAAGACUCAAGAUCAAGCUUCAGAAGACUUAUAGAUAGGAAUUUUGUAACUCGUAGUUGACAGGCUUAGCUAGUAUUUUUCAUUUUUUGAUUUUGAUGUAAUAACAGGACCGUGGACCGGAACCUCGGUGGAACGGCACCUCGACCGGCUCCCCACCUCAGUAUACUACAUCAUCUCACUCACCUCUGAACUACACGUGGCCUGAUUCCUUUAUAGCCAAGGAUAUGUAGUCAUCUCAGAUACCAGGGCUCGGUCACAUUCUCCUUUCUUUUAGCUUAUGGUCUCUUUAAAUAAGGGUCGGGUCAAAAAACUUGUCUAGUCGUUCUUUAUCUGAAAAUACUUCGUAUUUCCAGUCAAACCUCCCCAAGAUUUUUCAAAUUUUAGCACGUAAAUAUUUAAUUUAGGCCUAAUAUCGCUAUCUCAAUUAAUUUUGACUCUUUUACUUUAUUUUAUUACAAGAAAAUGAAAAUUACAAAAAAAAUAGUUUCAUUAAUGUUUUGUAGUCAUUUUUAAUCUUGAAAAAUACCAAAAAUAGUUUUGUUUUAACAGCCAGUCUUAUUUUAAUAGUUAUUUUACUUAAGUAGGACUAAUUAAUAAAUGAGAUCGUAUUUUAUUCUCGUUCGCGGGGAAAGAAUAAAAUUCAGGCUCAAACGACCCAUUUUUAGGCCUAAUUUUUGGAUCUAGCCCAUAAUCCCUAGGCCCAUACCCCUUAACCUAAAUAUAACCCUAAAACCCUAAGCUUAUAAAAAGGAGAUAGACCCCUAGACCUAAAAGGGGACUAUCAGCGAAAUAUACACAAAGUAUAAACCUAGACUAGAAAAGCUGACAGCGGCAGACAUAGCUGACAGCCGCAGAUAUAGAGGAGACACCCCCCCCUAAUUUCUCAUAUCCUUCGAACCACCCCACCCCCGAAUGACCUGAGCCUCUUCUUCUUUAUUGAACCUGAACGCCAACAGCAACACACCUCUCACUAGACCCAUCGACGAGCCUUCCCGCCUCGUUGGACACCGGCGACCACCCUAGAAUGAGGACCCCAAGAUCUUCUUCUCCAUUUUUAAGCUACAGAACUUGGACCUCUCCAUCUUCAAGCAAUAGAUCUUUCAGCAGCAAAGAACAAAAAUAGAACCCACGAUCCCCUCACUCAAACGUGUCUGGCAACACACAGACACACGCACGCAUAAAAGUUUAGGAUUCCUUUGAAAAAAUCAGAUUUGGAAUUCAAAGCUACAAAGAAAAACCGCACAACUCCGGAAGAUCUGAAAACGAGGAAAAGGUUUCUGAAAAUCUGGAUUUCCAAAGGGAUUCUUGAGGUCGAGAUUUGUUGCCUUGUUGGUUUUUUCGGUCCCGUAUGAUUUCAGUCGAUGUUUUCGGUUCAAGGUCAGAUUAGUUCUCUCGAUGAAUUGAAUUAUUACGAUGUUGCAUCUUAUGCACUUUCUGUUCUUUUCUUUAAAGUUAGAUUCAAUAAAAUAUGAUUUUAAGUUGUGUUCUUGUCUGGUAAUUGCAUCAUAUUUGUACUAUUCUCUUCUGAAUUGCAGAUUGUUUGAAAGUAACUUCUUGAUUUCUUUUCUUAGCUCAUUCUGAUUUUUGUUUUUUUCUUUGUUUCAAUUUUUAUUUUCAGUAUUGGUAACAAUAAAGGGUGUUGUCUUUCGUUUUGUGUGGCUUUUGUUGCAUAGAGAAUUUCUCCUGUGGUUACAAGGACAUAUGACGGGUGAAAAGUUUGGGUAAUUGGCUAAUUGCAAUGAACUUAUGAUUCUUGAACGUAUGGUUGGUAUUAACUUGAGUAGAGAUUUAAUAACCAUUGAACACUUAGUAUACUUUUAGGCAACUAUCGUGGUUAUGGACACAUUCGCGUGACAUGAUUACGAUUUCUAAAAACAAAACCGGAGUAUGCGGUCGCGCAACUUUGGC
rnacentral:lncRNA from 1 species